rnacentral:piRNA from 1 species
CUGAUCUGCAUUCACUAGCCCAGUGAU